AAAGGUAAAAUUAGAUAUUAUAAAAAAAUUAAAGUAUAUGAAUUGAAGCUUGAGCUUUUAGGGAUAAACCAGGAUUAGAUACCCUGUUAUACUAAGAGAUAAAUAAAAGUUUAGAUUACUAAGAGAUGUAUUCUUCAAAUUUUAAAAUUUGGCGGUAGUUUAGUCUAGUUGGAGGAACUUGUUUUUUAAUCGAUAAACCCCGUUAAAUCUUACUUGAGUUUGUAUAUCAUCAUUAUCAGAUAAUUUUUAGAGAAAUUUAUUGAAGUUUGUAGGUUUUCAAAAAAAAUUAGAUCAAGGUGCAGCUAAUAGAUAAGUUAAAAUGAGUUACAAUAAAUAAUUAUUUACACGAAAAAAUUUUUGUGAAGGAGGAUUCGAUUGUAUUUAAGUUUAAAAAAUUUAUAUGAUAUAAGCACUAAAUUAUGUACAUAUCGCCCGUCGCUUCC
rnacentral:rRNA from 1 species